rnacentral:rRNA from 1 species
UGGCGGCCGCGGGAAUUCGAUUUGACUGACUGAGUGCCAGCAGCCGCGGUAAUACGUAGGUGGCAAGCGUUGUCCGGAAUUAUUGGGCGUAAAGGGCUCGCAGGCGGUUUCUUAAGUCUGAUGUGAAAGCCCCCGGCUCAACCGGGGAGGGUCAUUGGAAACUGGGGAACUUGAGUGCAGAAGAGGAGAGUGGAAUUCCACGUGUAGCGGUGAAAUGCGUAGAGAUGUGGAGGAACACCAGUGGCGAAGGCGACUCUCUGGUCUGUAACUGACGCUGAGGAGCGAAAGCGUGGGGAGCGAACAGGAUUAGAUACCCUGGUAGUCCACGCCGUAAACGAUGAGUGCUAAGUGUUAGGGGGUUUCCGCCCCUUAGUGCUGCAGCUAACGCAUUAAGCACUCCGCCUGGGGAGUACGGUCGCAAGACUGAAACUCAAAGGAAUUGACGGGGGCCCGCACAAGCGGUGGAGCAUGUGGUUUAAUUCGAAGCAACGCGAAGAACCUUACCAGGUCUUGACAUCCUCUGACAAUCCUAGAGAUAGGACGUCCCCUUCGGGGGCAGAGUGACAGGUGGUG